AUAAAUCAUGGCAAUUUUGUCCCACUAGAGGCUAAAAGCAGCCCGAGAUGUGGUAAUUAAGAUACUCUAAUAGACCUGACAGUUUCUAUAAUAGGAGCUUUUAACAAGGUGGAAAAGAGCAAGUCAUCUCUCAUGCAACAGGAAGGCAACAACAACAACAAAAAAUAGGAAAUUUUCUUCAUAUGAAAGAAGUCACCUGGUCAAAAAAAAAAAAAAAAAAAAAAACAAUAGCGAAGCAGCAGGUCUGUGUCUUUCUCUGUGUGACAACUUGGGAGUAUGACUUAAGCUCCAUAAAUUGUAAAGACUCUAGCUCAGAGCCUGAUGAUUUGCUUUUAUGAGUAAGAAAUCAGAAGCAGAGAGAAUAUCUGUUCCUGGGGGCUUGAGAGCAGAGCUGAAACUAGAAACAGACACCUCUCUUUGAGAAGGAUCUGAGCAUCCGUGCUUAUUUUAUUUUAUUUUUUUUCCAUGAAAGACACUCGGAAGUUGUCAAACUCUUAUACUUUUCUAUUUUUAUUUGAUUCUCCCUUUCCUGUGCUGCUGGACACGCGUUUCUGAUAUUUGGGUUGUACACAGGACAUUAUUUGACAAUGGGUACGAGGAGGGAUUGUAAGGAUUUAAAGACUUCACACCAGCUUUAAGGACAGAAAAAAAAAAAUCAGCAGGUCCCCGAAUCACCUUACUUCUAAAGUGUGUGUGUGUGUUUAAAUGAGUUGUGAGUCUCUGACACACGCAACAAGUCAGAGGGGAUGACAGGAUCCAUUUUCCCCUUGACACUUAUUUAAUCCAAUUAGAAUUAAUUAAAACUGUCUGUACGCAUGAAGGUCCUGUGCUACAGAUGCCAGCAACUUCAGGUCUACUUAAUGGCUCUGCCCUUACACGGAGCCUUUCAUUAGAUCCCUCGGGGUGUUUUCAGAAUAUUAAUGUUCAUUUUUAAUUUAACGAACUUUUCCUAUAUGAAAUCAAACAAAAAUAAUAAUCAGGCCUAAAGAGGUGGUUCAGUGGUUAAAAGCAUUUGUGACUCCUCUAAAAGACAUGGUUUUGGUUCGCAGCCCUCACAUCAGGAAUCUUACAUCUGCCUGUAACUCCAAUUAUUAGGAUCUGACCUCAUCUUCUUGCCUGCCUGGGCACCUUCAAAUACAAGAUUCAUAUACAUACACUUAAGCACACACACAUGUAUACACAUAACCUAUGUCUUACAUUCUUUUUUAUUCAUUGAUUCAUUGAAUUAAAGUACUAGCUGCCUGUUUCUCACCAUACUCCAUGAGGUAUUGGAUGAAUGAUCCAGAUUGGGGGCAGGGGGUCUUAGAUUCCAUGAUAAAAGCAAUAGUAUAUUGAAGCAACAUCAGGAAUGAGACAUGCGAAUAAGUAUUCAUAUAAAUUGAAAAUUUUGUUAUGUCCACAAAAAAAUGUUGGUAUGACCAUGAAUGGAAAUCUGAGAAAGAAUAGGCUUAAGUAUUUUGUAGUGUUGACCAGUGUUAAGAAGUAAGAAAUAAGACAGUAUUGCAGAAAACAUCAUGGGCAGGAGCCAGACCAGGGAAAAGUCAGCCUGAUUUGAAAAAUGGAGCAUAGACAGUGGAGUUGGAACCCACAACUAGACAUAGAGAAAAGAGCAGGAGCCAGACCGUGAGAGGCCAGGCAGCUUUUGGAUCCUUGUGUAUAUAGAUGUCUACUAGAAGUAGAAUUUAGUAAAAAGAAGAGUUUUAAGCAAAAUAAUUGUGGAGAUCAUGUAAACUUAAAAUCCUUUGUUCUUGAAGGUGUGUGAAUAUCUGCAUAUGAUCAAACGGCAGAGCGUUGCCUGUAUUUGCUCCUGUGCCAGUUUCCUGAGUUUGAGCUAGAACUGUUACUUAAGGGUAGUCAUUCUAAACAAUGUGUUGAGAAACACAGGACAGCCUCCUGUAUGUUUUCCCUCACCUUUACAUAUGCAAGAAUUUUUAAAAGUGCUUAGAAACUAGAUGUGUUUAGAUAUACAGAAAGCACAAAUUGUUGUAGCUUAAACUGAUUCAGAAGUCAGAUAUGAAGUUAUUCUGGUGUGCUGGUGACAGAUAGUCAUGACUAUAGAGACAGGGGAGUGGCCAAGCUGAUGUAUAUUUUGUGGGUAGAAUGAACAGGAAUUGAUGAAAUAUUAGAUAUGUAGAAUUCAAGAAAAAGGAUCCUGAAGAGAGAUCAAAGAUUUACUUGAACAACACAACAGUGUUGAUGUAUAGAAGCUAUGAAGGUUAGGGUUCCACAGCUAGGUAAUCAUCUUUGUCUGGUAUAUGGAAGAGUGAAACUAGCAUAAACUUGAGGAUGCAGAGAUAUGUUAGGCACAAAACAAAUAUGGCUAAGGUUAUACCCGGGGACAAGAAGU
rnacentral:lncRNA from 1 species